UACGGGGGGGGUAAGCGUUGUUCGGAAUUACUGGGCGUAAAGGGCUCGUAGGCGGCCACUAAGUCAGACGUGAAAUCCCUCAGCUUAACUGGGGAACUGCGUCUGAUACUGGAUGGCUUGGAUUGGGAGAGGAAUGCGGAAUUCCAGGUGUAGCGGUGAAAUGCGUAGAUAUCUGGAGGAACACCGGUGGCGAAGGCGGCAUUCUGGACCGACAUUGACGCUGAGGAGCGAAAAGCCAGGGGGAGCAA
rnacentral:rRNA from 1 species